rnacentral:lncRNA from 1 species
AUGCGUAAAACAGCAGUUCUGAAUAGUUCUGAUGAUGAAGAUGAUGCUCCUCUGGUGAACUUAACGAAGAACACAACGGAGGAGAAACAGUCUGAGCAGACAGCAGGAGACUCCUCAGUUGAUGAGCCCUUGUCCAAAGUAGCAAAAACUCGCUCAUCAAAGAAAGCCUCGGCCAAUAAGAACCGUUCUAGAAGCAUCAAUAUGGGGAAAAGAAGAGCAGUUCUGAACAGUUCUGAUGAUGAGGAUGAUGAAGAUGAUGAGGAUGAUGAAGAUGGUCAGACCCUCAACUCCGAGGCUCCUCCAACACAACACGAUGAUGACUCCUCAGAUGACGAACCAUUGAGCAAAUUUACAAACACUCGACGUUCAAAGAAAGAGGAGGCAAAUCCGAUCGAGUUCAAGAGCAGCCGCAGAACUAACAAAAAGAAAAUAAGAACAGGUGCGGUCCUCUUUACACUUGAGAACAAAUGA